UGCCAGGGGCACCUCAAAAACAUUUGGGAAUUUCCUUGUGGAGGUGUGGAGUAGCUCUGUGGGCUCAGUAUUUGCUCGAGGUCUUCUCUUCCAGCCAGCCUGAAUUGGGAGCCACAAAGUCAACGAUGGCAUGACAAGAAGAGCACCAGGCCUUCAUGUUGUGGGCACAUCUCCUCCUGGCCCUUCUCCACACGUCCACUGCUGCAAAGCCAGCAGCCUGACCCAGCUUACAUUGACCCUUCGUGUGCAUCAGGGCCAUGCUGGCUGCCCACGUGUAGCUCUCCGCUGAGGCAAGAGACAACUCCAAAUUGCCCCAAAUCAUCACACAGAUCCCUUGCUAACACACUUCGUAUGCUGCAAAACUGCAAACAAGUGAAAGAUGCACAACCACCAUUAAAAUAUACAUAUUUUACCUCA